UGAGCUCAGAGAGGCAGAAUGUAGGGUCCUACAGCUUGGAAAGUUGCAGUGUGGAAGUUUGAAACCAAGUAGUCAUGGCCCUUUCUACUAUUUCUAACUGGUCCCAAGUGAGUGAAGACUAGAUGAGAGCAAAAUGUUCAUAAAACACUAACUAAAUCACCUUUUUUAUCCUCCUGUAAGUCAUGUUCAGCUUAGGGGAGAGAAAAACUGUUCGGUUAUCAGCUACUUCUCUAUUUUGUUGCCAUAUUUUUCUAUCCUGUAGAAUCUGAGUACCUUCUAGAAGCUACAGCUUUAGCUCUGUUUUGUUGCUGAAUUUUGUUGAAGCUUUAAGUGAACACCCUGCCUUUAUUUAAAAGUUGAUCUUGAGGGUUCAGGUAUGUGGGAGAACACUUUCUAGUCAUUUUUUGAGCUUUCCCUUUAAAGUCACCCUUUUCACACCAGAUUCAGGUAUUCAAUAUUUUAGAGAGAGUAUAGUUUUUAUUAUUUCCCACCAUGUCUGCCUAUUCAAAUGCAUUAAGGCUCAGUUCAGAUGCUUUCGAGACCUCCCUCUCUCAUGUCUAUUCUUUAACCCUUUUUACAUUCGGUGUUUAUAUAAAUCUUAAUCCCCUAUUAAAUAAGAGCAGAGGCUGCAUCUUAAUCAGCUUUAUCCUCCGCACAGUGCUGAGCCAGUGCCUUGCGCACAGAAAAGCAUCUGCUGCUCUCUGUGGGAGUGUCUGUUCUCACUAAGCCUGUCAGUAGCUUCAGAAACCAAAGAACUAGGAACUUUACAACUAUUAAUUGCAACCCUAGAAGGGCUUUACCAGAAAAAUUUUCAACAUUAUUAACAUUUCAAAUUUUAUAAUUAGCAGUUAUAAAUCUGCCAGUGCAAAGUCCUGUGAUCAUAGAACUAAAUUAUCUCCAAUUUCACUUUGACACUAAAAUACAGUAAGAUACCCAUUACAGCCUGGUGUUUUGCAUUUUUGCCUCUUGCCCAUCUGGUCCCUCACCACACUAUAUGUUCAUGAGUCAUCUUUUUAUUUGUUUGGUACAGAAAUCUGCUAUUCCUGAAAUGAAACCACAUGUACAAUUUCCAAGUAGUUUUCAAAAUUGUCUGUGUGGACUGAUUUUAAAUCAAUCAGAGAAGGAAUCAUCUGCUUUUGUAGGCAUGUCCAAGUUUCCCAUGUGGGCUGGAGAGCCUGCCUCUGGUAUCAAGGACCCUUUUAACAGGAUUUGUGUUUUCUCAUUCAGUUGUAGUGGCCCUAAAAAGCAACAUGAAGAAUGAAAUACUGAGGAAAAUCAACUUCUUAAUCACUGGGUAUCUUCAGUGCAGAAAAGUGACCUGCAAGUUACACCAUCCUUCACAGUCUAAGAGCCUUCCCCUGGAAGUUGCAAGCCUUCAAGAGACUCCAGAGGUCCAAAACAGGUACACUGGACAGAUUCUACAAGUGCAACUGUCUUCUAGUUGGUGCCUCUAACUUUGCUAUCUUCUCAGAAUCCUCUGACUAUUGUUUUAUCUACCCUUGGGGUACAGAAGAGAUUUCUAAGUCUAUCACCACCAAAAGCAGAAACCAUGAAAGGCUAAUACAGUCCUGAGUAUGGAAACAUUUUAUGAAACUGAAAAAGUUGUAAAUGAAAAUAAAAAUAACAAAAGCUCAAAGGAAAACUAUGCUGAGGUCAUGAAAGGCAAUUUGUGAAAGAAAAUCAUCAAAUAACCGAUAAAUACAGGGAAAAAUGUAGACUCAUUGAUCAAUGAAAGGCAAAUCCCGAAAAGUUGGAAAAUACAAUUAUUAGUUUGUCAAGGAAGAAGGAAACCACCAUCAUGUACCACAGCGCUGGGAGAGCAAGCUGACACAAACUCUGGGGAGGAGAACUGCCUUAGAAUCUGGUGCAGUCUUGGAUAGAGCGCUUGCCUUUCUCCAAGGCUAUUCUGAAGAAAGAAAUGGUUGCAUCGUUGUUUAUUAUGAUAGUGAAGAACUGGAAAGAAUCUGAAUGUCCAACACAGGGCUGGCUAAGGUCAUCUGAUGAAAGACACUACAGUCAUUAGAAAUUACAUUAGGGAACAGUGGCUUUCAAAACUUUUAACUGUGGAAUACAUUCUUCAAAUAAAAGUUUCUAGAAAUGCAGUGUUGGCAAGGAGCUAUCUCUAAAGCUACUUUGGGGGAGGCAAGGGCUUCCUAACUGAGGUGUUGCACAGACCUGUUACAUAAGAAUGUAACAUAACAAGAGAUUCAUUAAAUAUUAAGUGGGAAAAAUAUAUCAUCCCAUUAAGACAUGAGUGUAUAUACACACAAACGCCUGUAUAUAUGCAAAUAUGUAUGUGCCUACAGAGCAACAAAGACUGGAAGGAUCUGUUCUAAAUGUCAAUAGUGGCCACCUGUGGAUGAUGAUUAUUUUCUUUUUUCUUGUUUUCCAAACAUUCUGAAGUUGUCGUGUUCUUUUUAUAGUAUUAAAAAAUUCAUAAUUGUCAGGUC